CUGGGUUUUUCUUGGGCUACCCGCCCAUCACCCGCCCUCUGUCACUUUAUACGAAUUGCUUCGGCCGACGGUUCGAUGAGCACCUGGCGUUAUGCCGGUGUGAGUUGGGCCGCGGUCGGUCUACCAAAUCUAUUGCAUGUAUGUCGUCUGAAGAAAAAAGAAAAACGAAACCA
rnacentral:misc_RNA from 1 species